UCUCGAUAGCGUAAAAGUUAACUCAAAUUUUUAUAUAGUUGGAACGGUUACCUACGUUUGCCACUAGGGGCGCUGUUCCAACUGCACACAGAUUUCAAUUAACUUUUACGUUAUCGA
rnacentral:pre_miRNA from 9 species